rnacentral:rRNA from 1 species
CAGACGAGGAGCUUGCUCCUCUGACGUUAGCGGCGGACGGGUGAGUAACACGUGGAUAACCUACCUAUAAGACUGGGAUAACUUCGGGAAACCGGAGCUAAUACCGGAUAAUAUAUUGAACCGCAUGGUUCAAUAGUGAAAGACGGUUUUGCUGUCACUUAUAGAUGGAUCCGCGCCGCAUUAGCUAGUUGGUAAGGUAACGGCUUACCGAGGCGACGAUGCGUAGCCGACCUGAGAGGGUGAUCGGCCACACUGGAACUGAGACACGGUCCAGACUCCUACGGGAGGCAGCAGUAGGGAAUCUUCCGCAAUGGGCGAAAGCCUGACGGAGCAACGCCGCGUGAGUGAUGAAGGUCUUCGGAUCGUAAAACUCUGUUAUUAGGGAAGAACAAAUGUGUAAGUAACUAUGCACGUCUUGACGGUACCUAAUCAGAAAGCCACGGCUAACUACGUGCCAGCAGCCGCGGUAAUACGUAGGUGGCAAGCGUUAUCCGGAAUUAUUGGGCGUAAAGCGCGCGUAGGCGGUUUUUUAAGUCUGAUGUGAAAGCCCACGGCUCAACCGUGGAGGGUCAUUGGAAACUGGAAAACUUGAGUGCAGAAGAGGAAAGUGGAAUUCCAUGUGUAGCGGUGAAAUGCGCAGAGAUAUGGAGGAACACCAGUGGCGAAGGCGACUUUCUGGUCUGUAACUGACGCUGAUGUGCGAAAGCGUGGGGAUCAAA